rnacentral:rRNA from 1 species
UACGUAGGUGGCAAGCGUUGUCCGGAAUGACUGGGCGUAAAGGGAGCGUAGGUUGUUGUUUAAGUUAAAUGUGAAAGCCCGUGGCUCAACUACGGAAUUGCAUUUAAUACUGGAUAACUAGAGUGCAGGAGGGGUAAGCGGAAUUCCUAGUGUAGCGGUGGAAUGCGUAGAUAUUAGGAAGAACACCAGAGGCGAAGGCGGCUUACUGGACUGUAACUGACACUGAGGCUCGAAAGCGUGGGGAGCAAACAGG